UCGUCAGUGAGGUAUAUCCUUACCUGUAUCUCCAGAAAUGGAGUUGCAGAAUAUGAUGAGUGGAGAUUUAUGAGAUAUGAUUAAUAUCUCCGGCUUGUAGAGACUUGCAACGCUCUACGAGCUCCAUUCUGAU